rnacentral:rRNA from 1 species
AGAGUUUGAUCCUGGCUCAGAACGAACGCUGGCGGCGUGGAUAAGACAUGCAAGUCGAACGGAAUAUCAUGAGUAGCAAUACGAGUGGUGUUUAGUGGCGAACGGGUGCGUAACACGUGGAUACAUUCCGGGAAGCGGGGGAUAGCCCAGGGAAACUUGGAUUAAUACCGCAUGUGAUCGAAAGAUCAAAGACGGGGACCGCAAGGCCUGUCACUUCCCGAUUGGUCCGCGGCCUAUCAGCUAGUUGGCGGGGUAAAAGCCCACCAAGGCUACGACGGGUAGCUGGUCUUAGAGGACGACCAGCCACACUGGAACUGAGACACGGUCCAGACACCUACGGGUGGCAGCAGUCGAGAAUCUUUCACAAUGGGGGCAACCCUGAUGGAGCGACGCCGCGUGGAGGAUAAGGUCUUCGGAUUGUAAACUCCUGUCAUGCGCGAACAAGGUUGCAGGGAUAAUACCUUUGCAAAUUGAUGGUACCGCAAGAGGAAGAGACGGCUAACUCUGUGCCAGCAGCCGCGGUAAUACAGAGGUCUCAAGCGUUGUUCGGAAUCACUGGGCGUAAAGGGUGCGUAGGUGGCGUGGUAAGUCAGAUGUGAAAGCCCGGGGCUCAACCUCGGAACUGCAUCCGAUACUACCAUGCUAGAGUACUGAAGAGGAAACUAGAAUUCUCGGUGUAGCAGUGAAAUGCGUAGAUAUCGAGAGGAAUACCAAAGGCGAAGGCAGGUUUCUUGGCAGUUACUGACACUGAGGCACGAAGGCCAGGGGAGCGAACGGGAUUAGAUACCCCGGUAGUCCUG